rnacentral:rRNA from 1 species
UAGGGAAUCUUCGGCAAUGGACGAAAGUCUGACCGAGCAACGCCGCGUGAGUGAAGAAGGUUUUCGGAUCGUAAAACUCUGUUGUUAGAGAAGAACAAGGACGUUAGUAACUGAACGUCCCCUGACGGUAUCUAACCAGAAAGCCACGGCUAACUACGUGCCAGCAGCCGCGGUAAUACGUAGGUGGCAAGCGUUGUCCGGAUUUAUUGGGCGUAAAGCGAGCGCAGGCGGUUUCUUAAGUCUGAUGUGAAAGCCCCCGGCUCAACCGGGGAGGGUCAUUGGAAACUGGGAGAAUUGAGUGCAGAAGAGGAGAGUGGAAUUCAAUGUGUAGCGGUGAAAUGCGUAGAUAUAUGGAGGAACACCAGUGGCGAAGGCGGCUCUCUGGUCUGUAACUGACGCUGAGGCUAGAAAGCGUGGGGAGCAAACAGG